GAUGAACGCUGGCGGCGUGCCUAAUACAUGCAAGUCGAGCGAACGGACGAGAAUCUUGCUUUUCUGAUGUUAGCGGCGGACGGGUGAGUAGCACGUGGAUACCCUACCUAUAAGACUGGGAUAACCUCGUGAAACCGGAGCUAAUACCGGAUAAUAUUUUGAACCGCAUGGUUCAAAAGUGAAAGACGGUCUUGCUGUCACUUAUAGAUGUAUCCGUGCUGCAUGAGCUAGUUGGUAAGGUAACGGCUUACCAAGGCCACAAUGCCUAGCCGACCUGCGAGGGUGAAGGGGCACACUGAAGCUGAGCCACGGUCCAGAGUCCGACGGGAGGCAGCAGUAGGGAAGCGUGGGCGAUGGGGGAAAGCUUGCAGGAGCAACGGAGCGUGAGUGAUGAAGGUCUUCGGGUCGUAAAACUCUGUUAUUGGGGAAGAACAUAUGUAUAAGGGACUGUGCAUGUCUUGACGGUACCUACAGAGAAAGCAACGGCUAACUACGUG
rnacentral:rRNA from 1 species